AUGUUGACCGAGAUGGUAGACAGAUUCGACGACAUGGCCGACUACAUGACCACCAUCUCAUGCACAACUGGCAAUCAACCACUCAACAGAAAGGAGCACAACAUGCUUUCUUGGCCUUCCAAUCCCUAGUCCAGCCUCGCAAGGCCUCAUGGCGUGAGAUUAAAAACAUAGAAAGGGUCGAGGAUGAACCCCUGCUUGGCCAUCAUUAUGGAUUAUCUCUCACGAAUCGAGUCCGAGAUCGUUUCCAUCUGUGAGGAUGUCCACCAUCUUCUCGACUCCUACCUCAUUCCAUCUGAAGACUCUGCCGAAGCCAGGGUCUUCCACUGGAAGAUGAAGGCCGACUACUUUCGGUACCUCGCUGAGAUCAAGACCGACGAACAAAAGCUAUUUGGGGCCUACAAAGCCCACUUGAACUAUGAAGGGGGCCAUGAGAAUCGCUAAAGUGGAUCUGAGACCUGCAAACCCCACCAGGCUAGUGGCUGCUCUCAAUUUUGCGGUAUUCAAAGCGGAUAUCCUCAACUCCCCCGAAGACGCCUAUGCUUUGGCUGUAGAGGUGCUUUGGCUGUAGAGUCGUUCGAAGAGGGCUUAGAGGGGUUGGAUGAGCAUGAAGAUGACCUCGAUGAGAGAGGGUCCAUCAUGUACUCCAUUUCCAAUAAUAUAGAACUCUGGACCUCAGACUAAUGUCCAGGAGGUUGAAGGGGAUCAAUAUAUCGAAGAGGCCCAAAGGGGGGAAAAGUAGUCGAGUUUGGUCUCGGAUUCUCUUGCCCCCGUCGGCGAAGAAAACGAAGACGAGCAGCCUUCCAACCCACUAUAUCUUACAAGAUGUUAGUGCAAAACUUUGUUGUUAUAUUUUGGGGGCUGUUUAGGCAUUUAUGCAAAAUUUUGAGCUAACAGAGCACCA